UGCAGUCGAGCGGGGAGAUGUAGCUUGCUACAUUUCCUAGCGGCGGACSGGUGARUAAUGCUUAGGAAUCUGCCUAUUAGUGGGGGACAACGUUUCGAAAGGAACGCUAAUACCGCAUACGCCCUACGGGGGAAAGCAGGGGAUCUUCGGACCUUGCGCUAAUAGAUGAGCCUAAGCCAGAUUAGCUAGUUGGUGGGGUAAAGGCCUACCAAGGCGACGAUCUGUAGCGGGUCUGAGAGGAUGAUCCGCCACACUGGGACUGAGACACGGCCCAGACUCCUACGGGAGGCAGCAGUGGGGAAUAUUGGACAAUGGGGGGAACCCUGAUCCAGCCAUGCCGCGUGUGUGAAGAAGGCCUUUUGGUUGUAAAGCACUUUAAGCGGGGAGGAGGCUCUUCUAGUUAAUACCUAGGAUGAGUGGACGUUACCCGCAGAAUAAGCACCGGCUAACUCUGUGCCAGCAGCCGCGGUAAUACAGAGGGUGCGAGCGUUAAUCGGAUUUACUGGGCGUAAAGCGUACGUAGGCGGCUUUUUAAGUCGGAUGUGAAAUCCCUGAGCUUAACUUAGGAAUUGCAUUCGAUACUGGGAAGCUAGAGUAUGGGAGAGGAUGGUAGAAUUCCAGGUGUAGCGGUGAAAUGCGUAGAGAUCUGGAGGAAUACCGAUGGCGAAGGCAGCCAUCUGGCCUAAUACUGACGCUGAGGUACGAAAGCAUGGGGAGCAAACAGGAUUAGAUACCCUGGUAGUCCAUGCCGUAAACGAUGUCUACUAGCCGUUGGGGCCUUUGAGGCCUUAGUGGCGCAGCUAACGCGAUAAGUAGACCGCCUGGGGAGUACGGUCGCAAGACUAAAACUCAAAUGAAUUGACGGGGGCCCGCACAAGCGGUGGAGCAUGUGGUUUAAUUCGAUGCAACGCGAAGAACCUUACCUGGUCUUGACAUAGUAAGAACUUUCCAGAGAUGGAUUGGUGCCUUCGGGAACUUACAUACAGGUGCUGCAUGGCUGUCGUCAGCU
rnacentral:rRNA from 1 species